rnacentral:rRNA from 1 species
UAGGGAAUAUUGGACAAUGGGGGCAACCCUGAUCCAGCCAUGCCGCGUGUAGGAAGAAGGCUUUCUGAGUUGUAAACUACUUUUAUACGGGAAGAGAUAGCCAUGCGUGGUGAAGAGACGGUACCGUAAGAAUAAGCACCGGCUAACUCCGUGCCAGCAGCCGCGGUAAUACGGAGGGUGCAAGCGUUGUCCGGAAUUAUUGGGUUUAAAGGGUGCGUAGGCGGGCUAAUAAGUCAGAGGUGAAAUCCAAUCGCUUAACGAUUGAACUGCCUUUGAUACUGUUAGUCUUGAGUAGAGUAAAGGUAGGCGGAAUUUAUGGUGUAGCGGUGAAAUGCAUAGAUACCAUAAAGAACACCAAUAGCGAAGGCAGCUUACUAGACUUAUACUGACGCUGAGGCACGAAAGCGUGGGUAGCGAACGGGAUUAGAUACCCCCGUAGUCC